GCAUAUCAAUAAGCGGAGGAAAAGAAACUAACAAGGAUUCCCCUAGUAACUGCGAGUGAAGCGGGAAAAGCUCAAAUUUAAAAUCUGGUGGUCUCCGGCCAUCCGAGUUGUAAUCUAGAGAAGUGUUACCCGCGUCGGACCGUGUACAAGUCUCCUGGAAUGGAGCGUCAUAGAGGGUGAGAAUCCCGUCUUUGACACGGACUACCGAGGCUUUGUGGUGCGCUCUCAAAGAGUCGAGUUGUUUGGGAAUGCAGCUCAAAAUGGGUGGUAAAUUCCAUCUAAAGCUAAAUAUUGGCGAGAGACCGAUAGCGAACAAGUACCGUGAGGGAAAGAUGAAAAGAACUUUGGAAAGAGAGUUAAACAGUACGUGAAAUUGCUGAAAGGGAAACGCUUGAAGUCAGUCGCGUUGGCCGGAAAUCAGCCUUGCUUUUGCGGGGUGUACUUUCUGGUUGACGGGCCAGCAUCAGUUUUGACCGGUGGAAAAAGUCCAAGGGAAUGUGGCAUCUUCGGAUGUGUUAUAGCCCUUGUUCGUAUACAUCGAUUGGGACUGAGGAACUCAGCACGCCGAAAGGCCGGGUCUUUGACCACGUUCGUGCUUAGGAUGCUGGCAUAAUGGCUUUAAUCGACCCGUCUUGAAACACGGACCAAGGAGUCUAACAUGCCUGCGAGUGUUUGGGUGGAAAACCCGGACGCGCAAUGAAAGUGAAAGUUGAGAUCCUUGUCAUGGGGAGCAUCGACGCCCGGACCAGAAGUUUUCUGACGGCCCUGCGGUAGAGCAUGUAUGUUGGGACCCGAAAGAUGGUGAACUAUGCCUGAAUAGGGUGAAAGCCAGAGGAAACUCUGGUGGAGGCUCGUAGCGAUUUCUGACGUGCAAAUCGAUCGUCAAAUUUGGGUAUAGGGGGCGAAAGACUAAUCGAACCAUCUAGUAGCUGGGUUCCUGCCGA
rnacentral:rRNA from 1 species